rnacentral:lncRNA from 1 species
CUCGGCCGGGUCAUAUCAAAGAUUUUCAAAUUGCUAUUUGUUGUUUAACCUCUAAGUUUUAUUUGGGAGUAAGCGCGACGACGGAAGGAGUCGGCAUAAGUCCGGUUAGAUUUGACAUCCCUUCCAGGGGGCUGUCACCCUGGGAACGGUAUAUACAAUAUAUAUUUUCCUUUGUCACAUAAACUGCUUUAUUUGUACAGCAAAAUAAAUUGUCUAGG